UUCCCCGUCAUAUCGACGAUGCUGAUC
rnacentral:piRNA from 1 species